rnacentral:rRNA from 1 species
CCGGCAGACGAGGUAGUAAAAAGUAGGAACGCACCUUGAAGUCGGGCAUAGCUCGUCGAAAGACGGGGUAAUUCUCGAUAGUUCCGCACACUAACUUUGUCAUUGUAUCUUUCAGUUGUCUCACAACUAUCAAGUUUUCGACAACGGAAGAAUUAGGCAUCAGACAUGUUCUGAUACUUAUGAUACAAGACAACGAUGAUAAAGUUAGUGUGCGGAUAAAGUCGUAAGACGCUUCUUGAGCGGCCUGCUCGGUAUCAGCUAGUUGGUAGGGUAAAAGCCUACCAAGGCUAUGACGCCUAGGGGAGGUGAGAGCCUGACCCCCACCGAUGGAACUGAGAUACGGUCCAUACACCUACGGGUGGCUGCAGUCGAGAAUCUUCCACAAUGGACGAAAGUCUGAUGGAGCGACGCCGCGUGCGGGAUGAAAUCCUUCGGGAUGUAAACCGCUUUUGCCAGGGAGGAAGUCUAUUGACGUUACCUGGAGAAUAAGAGGUUGCUAAACUCGUGCCAGCAGCAGCGGUAAUACGAGUGCCUCGAGCGUUAUCCGGAAUUAUUGGGCGUAAAGGGUGUGUAGGUGGUCUUGUUAGUCUCUCGUUAAAUUCUUCGGCUUAACCGGGGGCAUGCGGGGGAAACGGCAAGACUAUGAGGGUUUGAGAGGUUUGCGGAACUCAAGGUGUAGGGGUGAAAUCCGUUGAUAUCUUGGGGAACACCAAAAGCGAAGGCAGCAAACUAGCAAAUUCCUGACACUGAAACACGAAAGCGUGGGGAGCAAAUGGGAUUAGAUAAACGCUCGUUAGAUAUGAAUUUUUUGAACAGACUGCUUCAGUAAUCGGAAAUUACAGUCGCUUUGUUUGAGAAAAAUUGAAAACUCGCCGCGAUUACGCGGCUCAGACAGUUCAAUUUUUCUACAAAGCUUCUUAAUUUCCAGAUUACUUCUCGCAAUGUUCAAAAAAUUCAUAUCUAACUCGCUCCGGUUGAAAGAAGACGGGAGCGAAAAGAGCAAAUGUCUCUUCGUGCGGCGACGCACGAUGACAACCUAGCUAUAUGCUGGAAAACCCGAGUAUCCGAUAGUACCGCAAGGUAACAAUCUAUCGGUGCGGGCAAUCAGCAGGGAAGGAAUGGAAAUGGCAGAUAUGAAGAUAGAUAAUAUCAAAAAAGCUUUGUCGGAGUAUGACGAAGCUGAGGCUCAGAUAAA